AUGAGAGACCCGAUGCAUAGCUAUAUCAGCUGUCCAGUAGGCACUGGCCCCGCGAGUCGCAUAUGCAUAAUAUGCUUUUGAGUAUGCAUAAUAUGACUCUAUCUGAUAUUUUACAUUACGUACUAUUCAUUUAAAUCAAUUAUGCAUCUUUUUCACAAAAGUUCAUCUGAAAGAAAAUAACAAAUGCAUAGCCAGCCAGCUGUUUUUGACCGCCCGUCAUUGCGUCCCACUCCAACCCCUGUCACCCCUCCCCCGGCCUGCUACUGCUGAGCUCAGCUGGCAGCUGCCUGCAGAGUUAAGUUGAGACCACCAGACUGCUAACGGGCAAUGAAGAGAAAGUCCACGGAUCUCUCCUUGCUUUAAGAUCAAAAGUAGUACAGGGGAGACGCAGCCGACAGGGAAGCAGCAGCAGAGGGUUAGCGUUAGUGAGGAUGCAGUCGAAGCCAAUGAACAGGCAGAGGCAGCGAGAGAGCAUGACAGAACAGAGGCAGAACAUGACAGCGAUGAACAGGCCCAGGCAGCAUCAAUGACAGAGCACAGUGAAGAACAACAGACAGCAACAUGGCACUAAAGUGUGGAACAGGCAGCAACUCGAGCUCGAGCUAUUCAACCCGUUCCUGGACCAACAGGGGCAUAGAAGACGGAGCUUCAUGAAAGAGCUGGAGUACUCUCAGAGUAAAGACUCUGUCCACUGCUAUGCCUGCCGGCACUUCAGUCUCCCCUCCUCAGGUGAUUCAGUGUUUAUAUCUGAAGAGGGGUUAUUAUAAAUUACAUUUUAAAAAGGAAACUUACUGAGAUGGGGGGUUUUGUAGGCCAUGCCAAAUCAGAAUCACAUACUAAUGCUAUGUUAGCAUGGGCAGAAUAUGAAAAGUCGAAUGCAAGCAAAUGCUCUCUCUCAGCCUCCUUAAAUGCAGAAUAUAAUAAAUUAGUGAGGGAAAAAAAAGAGAGCACAUUAAAGCUGUUGGAGAAACCCUGCUCCUCACAGCUACGCAAAACGUUGCACAGAGAGCACAUGAAGAAAUGGAAGGUCAGAAUAAAGGACAUUUCCUCUCUGUUAUGGAGCUGCUAGCCAAGCAUGAUCACACAGUCAAAAGAAAAUGACAAGAGACAUAGACAUGACAUAGACCGACCAGGUGAAUCCAGGUGAAAGCUAGGAUCCCUU